UGACCGCGGCUGCUGGCACGGAGUUAGCCGGUGCUUAUUCAUAAGGUACCGUCAUUAUCUUCCCUUAUAAAAGGAGUUUACACACCGAAAUGCGUCAUCCUCCACGCGGCGUUGCUGCAUCAGAGUUUCCUCCAUUGUGCAAUAUUCCCCACUGCUGCCUCCCGUAGGAGUCUGGACCGUGUCUCAGUUCCAGUGUGCCUGAUCAUCCUCUCAGACCAGGUAUGCGUCAUAGCCUUGGUAGGCCAUUACCCCACCAACUAGCUGAUACAAUAAAGCCCCAUCCUUUAGCGAUAAAUCUUUCCCAACUUAUCUUGAGAUAAGAAGGAGUAUAGGGUAUUAGCAGUCGUUUCCAACUGUUGUCCCCCACUAAAGGGCAGGUUAGCUAUACAUUACUCACCCGUGCGCCACUAACAAAAUAAGCAAGCUUAUUUCAUCCGUUCGACUUGCAUGUGUUAAGCACGCCGCCAGCGUUCACUCUGAGCCAUGAUCAAACUC
rnacentral:rRNA from 1 species